rnacentral:rRNA from 1 species
GCCGGCUAAAAGUCGGAGAAGUGGGGAUGACGUCAAAUCAUCAUGCCCCUUAUGACCUGGGCUACACACGUGCUACAAUGGGCGGUACAAAGGGUCGCGAACCCGCGAGGGGGAGCCAAUCCCAAAAAGCCGCUCUCAGUUCGGAUUGCAGGCUGCAACUCGCCUGCAUGAAGCCGGAAUCGCUAGUAAUCGCGGAUCAGCAUGCCGCGGUGAAUACGUUCCCGGGCCUU